rnacentral:rRNA from 1 species
CCAACAGGGAUUGCCUUAGUAACGGCGAGUGAAGCGGCAACAGCUCAAAUUUGAAAUCUGGCCUUCUGGUCCGAAUUGUAAUUUGUAGAGGAUGAUUUUGGUGCGGUACCUUCCGAGUUCCUUGGAACAGGACGCCUUAGAGGGUGAGAGCCCCGUACGGUUGGAUGCCUAGCCUUUGUAAAUCUCCUUCGACGAGUCGAGUAGUUUGGGAAUGCUGCUCUAAAUGGGAGGUAAAUUUCUUCUAAAGCUAAAUAUUGGCCAGAGACCGAUAGCGCACAAGUAGAGUGAUCGAAAGAUGAAAAGCACUUUGAAAAGAGGGUUAAAUAGCACGUGAAAUUGUUGAAAGGGAAGGAUUUAUGACCAGACUUUUUCUAGGCGGAUCAUCCGGUGUUCUCACCGGUGCACUUUGUCUAGUUUAGGCCAGCAUCGAUUUUCGGCAGCGGAUAAAAGCUUCAGGAAUGUGGCUCCUCCGGGAGUGUUAUAGCCUGUUGUAUAAUACGCCGCUGGGGAUCGAGGUACGCGCUUCUGCAAGGAUGCUGGCGUAAUGGUUAUCAAUCACCCGUCUUGAAACACGGACCAAGGAGUCGAACAUUUAUGCGAGUGUUUGGGUGUUAAACCCUCACGCGUAAUGAAAGUGAACGGAGGUGAGAGCCCUUACGGGUGCAUCAUCGACCGAUCCUGAUGUUUUCGGAUGGAUUUGAGUAAGAGCAUAACUGUUCGGACCCGAAAGAUGGUGAWCUAUGCGUGGAUAGGGUGAAGCCAGAGGAAACUCUGGUGGAGGCUCGCAGCGGUUCUGACGUGCAAAUCGAUCGUCAAAUCUGCGCAUGGGGGCGAAAGACUAAUCGAACCAUCUAGUAGCUGGUUACCGCCGAAGUUUCCCUCAGGA